rnacentral:rRNA from 1 species
CCUACGUGUGGCAGCAGUGGGGGAUAUUGCACACUGGGGGGAACCCUGAUGCAGCGACGCCGCGUUGGUGAAGGAGCGUUUCGGCGCGUAAAGCCCUAUCGGCAGGGAAGAAGAUGACGGUACCUGACCAAGAAGCCCCGGCUAACUACGUGCCAGCAGCCGCGGUAAUACGUAGGGGGCAAGCGUUAUCCGGAUUUAUUGGGUUUAAAGGGUGCGUAGGCUGUGAGGUAAGUCAGCGGUGAAAUGCCCCCGCUCAACGGGGUGAAGUGCCAUUGAUACUGCCUUGCUGGAAUGCGGAUGCCGUGGGAGGAAUGUGUGGUGUAGCGGUGAAAUGCAUAGAUAGCACACAGAACACCGAUUGCGAAGGCAUCUCACGAAUCCGCGAUUGACGCUGAUGCACGAAAGCGUGGGUAUCAAACAGGAUUAGAUACCCCUGUAGUC